GGGGGAGUGCGGCGUGCCUAUACAUGCAGUCGAACGCUUUGUCUUUAAUUGAUCUGACGAGCUUGCUCUGAUUUGAUUUUAUCUGACAAAGAGUGGCGAACGGGUGAGUAACACGUGGGUAACCUACCUCUUAGCAGGGGAUAACAUUUGGAAACAAGUGCUAAUACCGUAUAAUACCAACAACCGCAUGGUUGUUGGUUGAAAGAUGGUUCUGCUAUCACUAAGAGAUGGACCCGCGGUGCAUUAGCUAGUUGGUAAGGUAACGGCUUACCAAGGCAAUGAUGCAUAGCCGAGUUGAGAGACUGAUCGGCCACAAUGGGACUGAGACACGGCCCAUACUCCUACGGGAGGCAGCAGUAGGGAAUCUUCCACAAUGGGCGCAAGCCUGAUGGAGCAACGCCGCGUGUGUGAUGAAGGGUUUCGGCUCGUAAAACACUGUUAUAAGAGAAGAACGGCACUGAGAGUAACUGUUCAGUGUGUGACGGUAUCUUACCAGAAAGGAACGGCUAAAUACGUGCCAGCAGCCGCGGUAAUACGUAUGUUCCAAGCGUUAUCCGGAUUUAUUGGGCGUAAAGCGAGCGCAGACGGUUAUUUAAGUCUGAAGUGAAAGCCCUCAGCUCAACUGAGGAAUGGCUUUGGAAACUGGAUGACUUGAGUGCAGUAGAGGAAAGUGGAACUCCAUGUGUAGCGGUGAAAUGCGUAGAUAUAUGGAAGAACACCAGUGGCGAAGGCGGCUUUCUGGACUGUAACUGACGUUGAGGCUCGAAAGUGUGGGUAGCAAACAGGAUUAGAUACCCUGGUAGUCCACACCGUAAACGAUGAGUGCUAGAUGUUCGAGGGUUUCCGCCCUUGAGUGUCGCAGCUAACGCAUUAAGCACUCCGCCUGGGGAGUACGACCGCAAGGUUGAAACUCAAAGGAAUUGACGGGGACCCGCACAAGCGGUGGAGCAUGUGGUUUAAUUCGAAGCAACGCGAAGAACCUUACCAGGUCUUGACAUCCCUUGCUAAUCCUAGAAAUAGGACGUUCCCUUCGGGGACAAGGUGACAGGUGGUGCAUGGUUGUCGUCAGCUCGUGUCGUGAGAUGUUGGGUUAAGUCCCGCAACGAGCGCAACCCUUAUUAUUAGUUGCCAGCAUUCAGUUGGGCACUCUAGUGAGACUGCCGGUGACAAACCGGAGGAAAGGGGGGGGAUGACGUCAAAUCAUCAUGCCCCUUAUGACCUGGGGCUACACACG
rnacentral:rRNA from 1 species